rnacentral:lncRNA from 1 species
AGUCGAACAUGUUACACCAGACCAAGGCUGUAAAUCACCAUCACCACAAGGAUCGUCCCCAAUCCAUGUAUAUACAACUCUCCAUCCAAGUGAUGCUUUUAUCUCAUUUAAGGCUUUUAUUGCAAUAAAACUAACCAAAUAUCAACCCAUUGCAUCAAAACAUAUUUAUGCUCUAUUUUAAUUUUCUUAAUAAUGAUAGCUUCAAUUCUCACAAAAUGAGCAGUAACAAUAAACAUCACAUAUCCCUAAAAACCAACUUUAAAUUUCUAAUUGAUCAAUUUAAGCUGCUCCACAAGAAUUCAAGCUAAAUGAGUAGUGUGGUAAAAGUUAGCUAAAAAAGAUGAAAACACAAGUGAAGAACCAAGUAGAGCACAAAAGCAGAGCACAAGAAUUAAUCUCAGUUAAAGAACCAAAGAUACAAACACUACUGGUAAUUCGUUCCACCAGAAGCUAAGUCAUAAAAUGACAACGAAGUAAAUUUGUAAAUUGUUCAAUUUCCAAAACUGUAGAAAUGCUUUGAUGGGAUAGUUUUAUUAUGAUCCGCAAAAGAGAAGCACUUACCAUUUUGUCUUAAACUGUUCUAAUCAUGGACUGCUAUUUUAUCAAUGAUUCUCAUCUGAUUUCAUUUUAUAGGUAUAACAUACUAUGGGUAUAAUGUGUAUACACACAAAACCAAAUAUUAAUUUUGGAUAAAGCUCUUUAAAACUUUUUUUUGUGAGAAAAGAAGAUUUAGUUUCAUUAAAGGUGUUAAUGUAAGGUAAAUAAUACAUAAAGGACAUUCCAUAUGAAUGGGGACAAAAAAAUGAGAGAGAUCUUCAACUUUGGAAGAGAACAACAUGGUCAAUAAUAGCAAAGGAGCAAAAUAACAAUUGAGUGAAAAAAAAACCUAUUCUUUUGAUUGCAUAUAUUUUCCUAUCAAACUGAAAAAAUAACAUCAAUGAAUUGUAAGAUAUAAAAAGGGAAGAUAUUUGGGAUUUACAUUCUAUAAAAUCUACCUACAUAUCUGCUCAUAUAAUUCACAACUGAUACAAGACUUGAGUUUAGAAAUUCAAUUGAGAGAACUUUACUCAUUCAAAUUGCACCUCUACAUGCAUGUAUUUCCUCGC